UAAGGCCUAUUGGGGACUAACCAAUAUCUCCUGAAUGCAACUCACACACUUUAAUUAAGCUAAGACCUUC
rnacentral:tRNA from 1 species